rnacentral:rRNA from 1 species
CUACUGGGGUAUCUAAUCCUGUUCGCUACCUACGCUUUCGUCCAUCAGCGUCAAUAUAGUAUUAGUGAUCUGCCUUCGCAAUAGGUGUUCUGAGUAAUAUCUAUGCAUUUCACCGCUACACUACUCAUUCCAACCACUUCAUACUAAUUCAAGAACAACAGUAUCAAUGGCAAUUCUACAGUUAAGCUGCAGACUUUCACCACUGACUUAUUAUUCCGCCUACGGACCCUUUAAACCCAAUGAUUCCGGAUAACGCUUGGAUCCUCCGUAUUACCGCGGCUGCUGGCAC